GGGGGAAAGAGGGGCGGAGCUUCUGAGCCCUGUACGUGCGCCGCGCUGACGCCUGCGCAGUGCCCGCCUCUCCGGCCCCGCCCCUUCCCUCGAGGCGGGGAGGAGCCAGAGCGGGAGCCGUCUUCUUCAUUGUGCGUGAGGGGGCGCCGCCGCCGCCGGACGGACGACGCAGGGACGCCUUGGCGGGUGGCUGGCUCGCCCUCUCCUCUCCUCUCCCUGAAGCGCGCGCGAGAGAGACAGAGAGAGUGGCCUCCUGCCUUCGGCUCCUGAGGCCGGCCGGCGCUCGGCAUCCCUCCGCCCGGGGCUCCUCCUCGCCCGCCCGCCCUCAGCCAUGUCGGGCCGGUCGGUGCGGGCCGAGACCCGCAGCCGCGCCAAGGAUGAUAUCAAGCGGGUCAUGGCGGCCAUCGAGAAAGUGCGCAAAUGGGAGAAGAAGUGGGUGACAGUCGGUGACACAUCUCUCAGGAUUUACAAAUGGGUACCAGUAACAGAGCCCAAAGUAGAUGAUAAAACCAAGAACAAGAAAAAGGGCAAAGAUGAAAAGUGUGGUUCUGAGGUUACUACUCCGGAAAACAGCUCUUCUCCUGGGAUGAUGGAUAUGCAUGAUGACAAUAGCAACCAGAGUUCAAUAGCUGAUGCUUCGCCCAUAAAGCAGGAGAACAGCAGCAACUCAAGUCCUGCUCCAGAACAGAAUUCAACAGGGCAGGCAGAUGGCACUGGAGCAAAGUCUGAUGAUACUCAAGGCGACUCAAAAGAGGAACCUGGCUCAGAAGAUGCUUCUGACGAACAGACUUCUCAAUCUUCGAUGGAGAACUCCAUGAAUAGUUCAGAGAAAGUGGAAACUGAGCCUUCAGCAGAAAAUGACAUAACCACAGAGGCAUCUAAAAACUCUCAGGACUCUGAAGGAGUGCCGCCUUCUAAAAAGAUGAAAGUAGAGGCUUCCUCUCAACAAAAUGUUGACGAAAUAUAAACUCUAGAUUUUUUUCCUGGCCAGUUUUUAUGUAAGGUACACCAGUGGGCUAAAUUAUAGAACAACUAUAAUUAAGUAUCUUCUCUUGGAUGAGGACAGAACUCCUAUAAACUUUUUCAAGUUACCAAGCAGAAAUCCAAGAAAACCAAGCAAAGGCUUACUCUUUUCAGACACUGAAAACUUCUUUUCCUGUGAAGCAAAAACCGUUGAGAAUUUAAGUUACUGUCUCUGAAAUGGUUGGAGUAAACAACUCAGGAGGGGUCUACGCACUGUUUCUAAUGUCAAAAUUACAAUUAUGUUGCUGCUGUAUUUUUUUUUCCAUUCUCUAUUUAACAUAAGAUAUUUAAGGAUGGUACAGGUCAGGUAUUCUCUUCUCAUGUGAAGUUCAUUGUUCUGAUGUGAUGUCUGUUUUUUGUUUUUGUUUUUUUGUGCCUUGUGUUCCAAAACAAAAACAAACCAGUGCUAAUUUUUUAAAACUUGUUUUUGCAACUGUCUCCUUUGCAACGUGGCCUACGUACGAUGCCAUAUAGGAAGCUAUUAGCUGGGCUGCCCACUCCCAUUUUAUACCCUGGUGCUCACUGUUCUGACAUAAGAGAUAACUUGAGAAAAAUCAGGAGGCCAUUUUCACUGUUGGAGUCCAGAGAAAUUGAUUGUGGAUGGAUUUUCCUGGAGCUACAGGGAUACUUUCUAUUUAAACGCAUUGCAUUUGAGCCACUAAGACUUUCUCCUCUGCUAUGCACAUGGAAACAAAUGCACAAAAACAUAGCUUGCUUUUGGAGAAUUUCUUGGUGAAAUCCAUCCGUCUGGCUAUAGAAGGUAGUCCUUUAAAACUGUUUCUUUUUUUGAAGUGAAUGUGCUCUGCUCUUCAUUUCAUUAGUGUUGGAUCUGGGUUAUAAUUGGGACAAAUUAUGCUUUUUUAAGUACUAAGAUUGAGAUAUCUAUAUCUGAGCAUUACUGAGAGGAGCUUGUUAUAAAUGCAAGUCUAAAUGGACAUAUACAUGAUGGCAGAUGAUAGUUUUGAAUAGGUGCAUUCUUGAAACAAUCGGUUUUAACUAAACUGGAUUUCCUUGUGCUGUUCUUAAACAAGAUGUUUAUUGAUGCAUAUUCCAGCCUGUACUGUACUGUACUUGAGGCAUAUUUUUGUUUCAAGGAGUUUGUAUAUACAGUUUUGUUACUUCAUAUUCUGUCCUUCAGACAUCUAUGUUUAGGAGAAGUUCAGUUUUUAAUUUCUGUGAGCUUAGUGUGGUGACACAGGCUGCACAAAAAUCUCACCCGUGGUGGUGGUAGUUGACAUCUGUAAAUACUAGGUGCUGUGAUGCCAGCUGUAAUAAGAAUAAUCCCCCCAAACGGUACUCAUUCCCCUUGAAAUCAAUGCCCCCUUAGUUAUAGCUGUUUCCCACUCUUAUCAUUUUCAGUGGGUCUGUACUAUGCUUAGCCCUUUGCUCAUCUAAGGAGGUGUUGAGUUGGUACAGUUUUUCUUGAUGGCUGCGGAAAAUGAGAAAGACCCAUAAAAAAUGAAGAGGAGAAACAUAAGUCUUAUAACUGUAGAGCAACUUUUUACCUGCAAAAGGAUCAAGUAUACUUUGCACUGGAAGUGCUAGCUGGCUUUUAAAAAUAGCGGAUCAGUUUCUUGCCCAAGUUGUUCCCUUACUAAUCUUGAUUUCUGAUUCCUCCAAUGGUGAAAAUGGCUUGAUUUUUUAUAUAUAUAUAUAUAUAUAUAUAUAUAUAUAUAUAUAUAUAUAUAUAUAUAUAUAUCACUAAAAUACCUCAAAUUUUUUCAUUAGGUAGGAAAACAUGUAUUGGCAUUACUGACACUGAUAAGUUUAGUGAAUGAAACUGGCUUCUUGAUUCCUCCUGUGGCUUUUCCCCUCAAAGGUGGCAACACUACACCAAGGCCUGCUACUCUUGCAUGAUGAACUUUGCCUCCUGAUAGGACCUGCUUGUCUGUGACUUGCAAAGUGAGCCCCGUACUUGAAAGAUGCGAAGCAGUAGGCUUUGAUGAGUUAAUGCCAUCGUUGUGCUGUCCCAUCAUUCUUGAAAAACCCCAGCAUAACCACAGUGCUUCGUGGCUUUUCUUUGUUAGUAAGCAACACUUGAUUUGCAGCUCAUACAACGUUGCUGAUAUUGGGAUCCUCUUUUGGUGAAUAAGGGGUAAUGGGGGGUGAGUGGGGAGCAGACCCAGUUAGGGUCUGCUAGGGUCCGUCUGUCCCCUUUUAAAAGGAUGGAGUAGGAGUCUGGCCCUCCUUGGUAUGCCGAAAUUCACAAUCAUGUAAGGACUGUUACUGGUCUUUCCUUGAAGUGCCUGAUAACAUUGCUAGGCCAUUUGGGUGUGCAGUUGCAAAACAAAACAAAGCUUGAAAGGGAUAGUAUUGGUCCAGAUCUGCAUUCACUUGAGACUCAGUACCAGGUCCAGCUUCUUGGUUUGGCACCAUUUUGCCCCUUUGGUUUGAUGUAUAUUAAAAGCACUGAGGAUGGGAUGAGAGGGAAAGUGUGCUGAAAUCUUGUAUCACAGUGACACAUUUGGUGGGAUGCUGUUUGCUCCAAAGGCUGCACUUUGUACAGUCUCUGCUUGCGUCUGCGCAAGCGGAGCGUACGGAGUGUCUUUCAAGAAAUGUAGUUUAAAGCUCCAGAAGUGCUUCCUUAUCUACCCACUCGGCAUUUGGACCUUCAGUUCCUCUCAGCCCUCCAACCUAGACAUGAAGCUAGCAAGGUAAAACUGCUCUUUUGGGAAUCCUGAGGGGCAGAGUGAGAAAUGAAGGCCUUCCAGAUGGACAGUUGACUCAGCCAGAUGUUUUUGAGCAGAACUCUUCAUUGUGAAGUUCUUAGGUGCUUGGGGGAGUGUAGUUGUAAAUCAUUCCAGAAAGUGCUGGCGGUUAGCAAAAGGCCAGCGACAAAAUCCGCAAGGCAGCAUAAAAAUGACUGGCUUUUUUGGGGGGGCGGGGGGGGGGGCGGUUAACCUUGUUCAUACGAGAAACAUUGUUAUGCUUUGGAAUGUUCUUUAUAUUGAAAAGGCCUGCUCGAAGGUGUAAAGAAUGUUGUGGGUUUUUUAAAGAUACCUAACCGUUUCCCCCCCCAUCUUAAUAAUGAUUUGUGUGUGUGUGUUGUACAGCAGUAUCAUUUUUUUUCCACUUAUUUAUUCCAUCGGUAGUUAUUGUUUGUACAAUGUACAAUGGUUUCAUUAAAAAAAGAAUAAACUGUAAAACCAC